GAGCAGCUACUGAGAUCACCUAAAAAGAUGUAAGUUCUUCGUCAUGGAUACCUGCAUCUUAGCUUCUAAUUCUUUGAGCCAAAUUAUAUAUCCUCAUGUUUAUACACAGACUUCCCAUUUUAAAAAGUAUUUUUUCAUAUAUUUAUCUUAGUUGAGCCUCAUAACCAAGUUUGUAAUCCCCAGUUUUAUAGAUGAGGAAACUUGAAGAUGUAAAGGUCACAUGGCUAAUAACCAGCCAAGGAUGGGGAAGAAUCCAGGCCUCCCUCACCCUAAUUCAAGUCUCUCCACCAUCCUAGUUAGACUGUUUCUCCUCUGGUUUGAGACCAGGGAGGGGCAUACAGGAGCAGGCAGUGCCUGUGUAGUUUGGAGCUUGCCUCUUAUGUCCCAGAGUCCAACUGGUAAAGAAAUUUUUUGUGCCUUAUUAUACAACACCUAUUUCUUAGGCAUUUGUGCAUUUUAGAGCAAUUUUUCAAAAUAAAAUGCUGCAUUUUAGAACUGCCCACAAACUGAAAGAAACAGAAGCUGCUGUCAUUAGGGGGAGAUCAUGCUUAUCGCAUAGUCUUCUGGUAAUUCUUUAAUAAAAAUAUUUUUAGUACCAUUUUAUCACUUGCAAUCCUUUUAUGUCAAGUUUUCUUUUUUAACUUUUCUGGUUUUACCCUCAGGAUUACUGUCAAAAUAUAGCUAAUAUAUUUAAAGUAUAUGUGCAUUUUUCCUUUGCGUUUCUGUGUUUUAAAUAACAAAUGUGAUUAUGUUUCCAGUUCUACAAAAAUAUGGUAUUUAUUUUAAACUUCUUUCAAUGAAAUGAAGUAAAAUAAGACAACAUUUUUCAUCUUCUCUGUUUCACACACACAUACAUACACGACAAACCAACGUUUACUUUAGUUUCAGAUUUUCUUAUUUCCACAAUUUAAUUGAUACUAGUUACAGAGGCCUAUCAUUUAAUAUAAUGUAGUGCUGGUCUAGCAUUGUAGUUGGGAAUCGUUAAUCAUAGGACAGUUGAAAGAAUGGUAGUGUGGAGAUGGCAAGAAACUUAAAUUCAGAUUUCAACUCGGAAACUUACUAACAGCAUAUGGGGCUUUCACCAAAAAUUCAAUCUCUCUAAACCUCACUUUUCUCACCUACAAAUGGGAACAAAUGGGAACAUUAAUACUUUCCUUAUCAUGAGGAUUACUUCAUGUAAACAUACCUAUUAGCACCUAGCUACUCAUAUGCUCCCAAGUGUUUAUUGGGUCUGAAUUUGAAUUUCUUCGGUUCAACUGAUUUCUUACCUAGCACGGCAUGGAUUUCAGUUAUAAUGUUUCUCCUUGCACAAGCAUGGUAGACAUGGGGUUAGUAGUGCCUCAGUUUUCUUGUCUUCAAAAUGAGGAUGAUGCUACCUAUCCUGAAGGGUUAUUGUGAGGAUUAAAUGAGAUGAUGGGGUGAAAGUGAUUUGUAAACUAGGAAGUCUAUCAUGCAAACCGCAUGAUAGACUUCGGAUAGAGGCAGCAGACACGUACUCAGGAGUUCAGAGGCAGUAGCUUUGACCUUUCAUCUCUGGGUCUUAGUGCUGGCACAUAUAAUGGGUCUUAACAAAUAUUUUUCAGUUGGGCCUUCAAGGAUAAGCAAAGUCUUGGGAAAAAUAAGAAUAGAUAUUCCAGGUAGAGGGACCAGGAAAAAUUAAUAUGUGACGCAAGAAAAAAUAAAGAUACUAUUAAAUUUCUUUGGGACUUUGAAGGAGGAAGGGAGCAUAUAGACACUUAGUAAAUAUUGUUUGAAGAAGGGAAUGAAUAUGUAAAGGGAGAAUAAACCUCACCUAUAAGGUCUAG
rnacentral:lncRNA from 1 species